rnacentral:rRNA from 1 species
AGGGUUCGAUUCUGGCUCAGGAUGAACGCUGGCGGCGUGCUUAACACAUGCAAGUCGAACGGGAUCCAUCAAGCUUGCUUGGUGGUGAGAGUGGCGAACGGGUGAGUAAUGCGUGACCGACCUGCCCCAUGCUCCGGAAUAGCUCCUGGAAACGGGUGGUAAUGCCGGAUGUUCCACAUGAUCGCAUGUGAUUGUGGGAAAGAUUCUAUCGGCGUGGGAUGGGGUCGCGUCCUAUCAGCUUGUUGGUGAGGUAACGGCUCACCAAGGCUUCGACGGGUAGCCGGCCUGAGAGGGCGACCGGCCACAUUGGGACUGAGAUACGGCCCAGACUCCUACGGGAGGCAGCAGUGGGGAAUAUUGCACAAUGGGCGCAAGCCUGAUGCAGCGACGCCGCGUGAGGGAUGGAGGCCUUCGGGUUGUAAACCUCUUUUGUUUGGGAGCAAGCCUUCGGGUGAGUGUACCUUUCGAAUAAGCGCCGGCUAACUACGUGCCAGCAGCCGCGGUAAUACGUAGGGCGCAAGCGUUAUCCGGAUUUAUUGGGCGUAAAGGGCUCGUAGGCGGCUCGUCGCGUCCGGUGUGAAAGUCCAUCGCUUAACGGUGGAUCUGCGCCGGGUACGGGCGGGCUGGAGUGCGGUAGGGGAGACUGGAAUUCCCGGUGUAACGGUGGAAUGUGUAGAUAUCGGGAAGAACACCGAUGGCGAAGGCAGGUCUCUGGGCCGUCACUGACGCUGAGGAGCGAAAGCGUGGGGAGCGAACAGGAUUAGAUACCCUGGUAGUCCACGCCGUAAACGGUGGACGCUGGAUGUGGGGCACGUUCCACGUGUUCCGUGUCGGAGCUAACGCGUUAAGCGUCCCGCCUGGGGAGUACGGCCGCAAGGCUAAAACUCAA